rnacentral:rRNA from 1 species
GAUGAACGCUGGCGGGUGUGUCUAAUACAUGCAAGUCGAGCGGGUUAUAUGUUUAAACUUCAUGGUGAUGGUAUGGACUUUUUUCCGGUUAAUUCUGGUCUUCUGCCCUCGCCAUCAUCAGUGGGUUUAAAAUAUGUGAUCAGCGGCAGACGGGUGAGGAACAACGUUGGAAUCUGCCCCAAAAGUGAGGGAUAAUCUGCCGAAAGGCGGACUAAUACCGCAUGUGCCCGCAAGGGUAAAGCUUUAUGCGCUUUGGGAGGAGCCUGCGUAAUAUCAGCUAGUUGGUGA